CUAAUAUGACGAUUCUUUUUAGGAGACCACCCAUGAGAUGAGCCAAAAGUACAAAGAAGGAAAAUCAGUGCUUGAGCGGUUUAAGAUUUGUGGCCCUGAUGGAAGCCAUUACUCGGCUAGUCAUGAUAUUCAUGUUGCAGGAAGUGAUGCUGAUGAUGUUUGAUCACCAUCCAGAACAAAAAUUCUAUCCCAAAAUGUACAUUCUUUAACUCACCACCCCAUUAGUUCUUUAUGGACCAUUGGAUUCUUGAAUAGCUUAAGCUACUACAACUUCUUUAAGCUUGUCCUCUAUUGUGUAUGAUAACAUGGAAGCCGCCAUGUGUUGUUGCAAACUAACAUGACCAUCUGCCUGCAUUUGUUUGCAAUGACAAGACAUUACUAGUAGCAACCA